rnacentral:rRNA from 1 species
GUAAAGCGUGCGCAGGCGGUUGUGCAAGACAGAUGUGAAAUCCCCGAGCUUAACUUGGGAAUUGCAUUGGUGACUGCACGGCUAGAGUGUGUCAGAGGGGGGUAGAAUUCCACGUGUAGCAGUGAAAUGCGUAGAGAUGUGGAGGAAUACCGAUGGCGAAGGCAGCCCCCUGGGAUAACACUGACGCUCAUGCACGAAAGCGUGGGGAGCAAACAGGAUUAGAUACCCUGGUAGUCCACGCCCUAAACGAUGUCAACUAGUUGUUGGGGAUUCAUUUCCUUAGUAACGUAGCUAACGCGUGAAGUUGACCGCCUGGGGAGUACGGUCGCAAGAUUAAAACUCAAAGGAAUUGACGGGGACCCGCACAAGCGGUGGAUGAUGUGGAUUAAUUCGAUGCAACGCGAAAAACCUUACCUACCCUUGACAUGCCACUAACGAAGCAGAGAUGCAUUAGGUGCUCGAAAGAGAAAGUGGACACAGGUGCUGCAUGGCCGUCGUCAGCUCGUGUCGUGAGAUGUUGAGUUAAGUCCCGCAACGAGCGCAACCCUUGUCUCUAGUUGCUACGAAAGGGCACUCUAGAGAGACUGCCGGUGACAAACCGGAGGAAGGUGGGGAUGACGUCAAGUCCUCAUGGCCCUUAUGGGUAGGGCUUCACACGUCAUACAAUGGUGCAUACAGAGGGUUGCCAAGCCGCGAGGUGGAGCUAAUCCCAGAAAAUGCAUCGUAGUCCGGAUCGUAGUCUGCAACUCGACUACGUGAAGCUGGAAUCG